GUAAGUGGUUCCCCUGGCAACCAGCACAGCAACCGGUAACCAGGAAGGGCCCCUAGAGCCAGGAGGGACACGGACGCUGCUGGCCCUGGUGGCUCAGGUGCCGUUAGAGGGGCCUCUCCCGGCCUGUGGCUCCCUGCGGCCCCGCUCUGCUCGCCUCCUGUGCUCUGCGCCUGCUCUGCCCUGGGUCCAGCGAGCCUGCCGCCCCCUGGCUGGCGAUCCCAGUGGCCUGAGAGCGGGCAGGGUGUCGCCAGCUCCGGGUGUUUCCCUCGUGUGCGAGGAAACAUAUCCAGGACAAAGUGGACAAAGUGGGUCGCAGGAAGAAAGAGUGACAGGCCAGGGGGCCCUCUGGUAACAGGUGCAGGAGCAGGGAUUCCACGUCUUCCUUCCAUCCUGGUCCCUUUCCAUUCCGCCUCACCAUAGCGGAAAGGGUGGGGGGGUCUUCCCGGGGACCCCACCCUGGGUCAGUGGCAGGAGGAUGCGCCCACUGGGCUGGUGGCAGAGAUUCGGAAAUCCUGGGCAGGAAUGUAGCGCCUGAAUCUCCCUUUCGAGAGUCUAUUUCUUUUCUUUCCACAGCUUCUUCUACCCCGCCCCCCCCCCCACUAGGGAACUGAACCCAGGGCCUUUGCACGGGGCUGCAGCCCCAGGCUUUUUUGUGUCUUCAUUUUGAGAUGGGAGGGGUCUUACCAAGUCACCCAGGCUGGGAUCAAAUUUGUGAUCUUCCUGUCUCAGUCUCCCAGCGUGCUGGAAUCAUAGGUGUGGGCCAGCCACCACGUGUGGAUUAGUUUCCUUUUUAUUAAACAAAUAUUUGUUCUGCUCUAGUGUUCUCUGGAGACUGACUGUCCUUGGGGAAACCCCAGGACUCAGGAUGUGAGGUUCAGACUCAGGCUACUGGGCCCGAGGCAUCACCCGGAAGGGGGCAGUGGGAACCGGGCGCACGGGGGAGCUGAGAAGCCCCAGGGGCAGCGCCAGGCACCCCAGAGCCCAUUGCUCCCCGCCCCACUUAGCCGUGACGUCCCCUUAACCGUCAGCCCCACCCUCUUACCAGGCCUUGUAGUCAGGUAGUUUCCCCUGCUCAACAAAUCAUGGGCGCCACGGGCUGGAACGAGCCCUGAGCUAGGUCCCAACCAAAAUGGAGUCACUCGUGCUAAGUAAGCUCCCGGGCACCAAGCGAGGCCCAGGAGGUCCACAUGUGGAGAAGUCAGGAGCUCAGUGGCAGCCAGAUCCCAGGAAGGGCAGCGGCUUGGAACCGCCUUUUGCUCCCGCCGGCUGCUCCUCAGCCCUUUGCAACUGUGAAGCCGCGCUCUCAGCGGGUCUCGGGCUGUUGCAUACACUGGAUGCUGCCUGGUUCUUGCACUGCUACUGAAAGCGAAUGAGCCAAAUGCAUAUUUCUCGGGCCUACUGUGUAUCCAGUACCCAGCUGAGUCCUGGGGGACGGAGGGGGAGAAUCAGGAAAACAAAGGCAGGAACUCCCCGCCCCCGGGAUUGAACCGGGGUCCUUGGCACCAAGCUACAUCUCCAGCCCUUGUUUUAGUUUCCCCGCGGGAUCCUGAGAUCAGCAGCACGGGACGACGGCGCCCCCUGGCGGCAGGUGCGCAGAACUCUCCGGCAGCUUCUAUUUUUGGUCCCCGCUGUUUCCAUAGUGAAAAGCUAGCGGGAGGAAUGGCCGCAGCUCCCCGGCUGGCUCUCUGUCCCCCAGGGUCACUCCUGCUCCGGUUCGCAGGUCGGAUCUCCGUAUGCUCUAGGCCUGGCCGGGCAGGCGGGCGGCGUGGGCCUCGCAGCGACGUGUUGGAAGGAACGCUGCUUCCAGGGUCAGGAGCCUGGGCGGGAAGCGCUAAGGUAAUAGCGACGGUAAUAGCCACCUCCUCCAGGGCGCUCCCGGUCGGGCGUGGCCCCCGGAGCUUUACCUGUGUGGCUGACUUGGAUCCCCAGCAGGCCCGCCAGGGCGAUGUUACCCCCUCGGAAGCGAGGCCGAGCGCGCAGGGCUCUUUCCCAAGGUCACGCAGCGCACAAUGCCUGGACGUGGGGUCGUAUUGCGGGAGACCUCGCGCUACACCGAACUGAAGAAUCGGAAACUGGUGGUGGGGUCCGGGAACUGGUGCUUUCACACGAUCCCCAGCCCAAGAUUGGUAGCUGUCAUCCCAGUACUCAGGAGGCCAAGGCAGGAGGAUGGAUGCAAAUUUAAGGCCAGUGCUAUGUAGCAGGUUCAAGGCCAGCCUGAACGACACAGCGAGACCCUGUUUCAAAACAAAAGCAAAAACAGAAACAGAUUUGGGACUGGCAGUUCCCAAGCCCUGGCCCUUCCUGUAGGAGGGGCUGGAGGAGGCUGGGAGGCUGGCGCAGGUGACCUGCUCCCCUGGGUCCUGCCUGUUCCUGCAGCAGAAGCGGUUCACAGGAUUCCCACACCGGAAGAGCCAACUUCAUCACCCCUACCUAGAAAGUUUGGUGGCUGCCACAUCCCAAGGGAGAAGGCCAGGGAGGAGAAAGUGACAGUGGCAGCCCCUCUAGCACACAGCUCCCAUGCCUAUGACCCUGCGGUCUGCACCUCUUCUGGCCUGACUUGCCGCCCCCCCACCCCCACCCCAUGACCCCAGGAGGAGGCCUGGGGCCUGGCCCAGUGUGAGCAGGGCUGGGCCAGCUGGGCAGACAGAGGAGAGGAACUCAGGUUGGAGACACCAGGCCUGGAGAGACCUUCUGUUGCCCACUCGUGUCUCCCCACUGAUUAAACCUCUUCUCGGAGUGUUCAGGGGAACCCAAGAAAGGGAAGGAAAGACAAGGGGCCCAGCCCUGGCUGAGGACCGCCAUGCGGCAGGACAGCACGGGGACCCUGCAGGUCCGUGUGCCCUCAGGGCCCGCUUGGCCGCUCCUGUGGGCUCUCGGGUGGGAGCAGGCAGCCGCAGGCAGGAUCGAGACAGCCCCUGCUGUCCUUCAUGUUCGUUUUGUGUUCAGGGAAACCCCAUGGCAUUCUGGUUCCUGUUUUGAUGGUUUUUAGAGCUUUUCUGAGGCACAGCUGAUACAGUCGCACUGCUUUUCAGUGUGGACCCUGGUGACUCAGUUCCCACACUCACAGGACUGAACUUAUGGAUCACCUCCAAGAAUUUCCCCGCAUAUGUGCGCGCGCAUGUGUGUGUGUACCCAUGCGUGUUUCCGUGUAAGAACACAACAGAUUUUAAACCGUUUAAAGGGGCACAGCCCUGUUGUCACCAACAGGCCCCAUGUUGUGCUGCUGCAGAUUUCUCCACCUCCCCAACUCCCGGCAGCCCCUGUCCUCGCCCCUGCCUCUGUGUGACCGACUCUUGGAUCCCCGUACAAGUGGCAUCGUGCGGUAAUUUAAUUGUCCUCUGCAUCUGGCUCAUGUCACUGAGCGGAAGGACCUCUAGGUUUUCCACUUUGUUGCGGUUGGCAGGAUCCCUUCUUUUUUAGGGAACGAUGCCCCCUUGUAUGUAUGCACCGCGCUUUCUUUAUCCAUUCAUCUGCUGCUGGACACGUGGGUCACGUCCAUAUCUUGCUUAUUGUGAAUAUGGAAAAAUACAGUUUCAGUACACGAAGACACACUGCAAUGUACUCUGUUGACAGAAGGGAUAGCUGUGGCCGGGGAUUUAGCUCAGUGGUUUCGCCGCCUGCUGCGCAAGCACAAGGACCCAAGUCCUGCCCGAGGACCCCUCUUCCACCGCCCCAGCUUCACGGGGGUCCUGUCCCCUCCCCGACACCGGGUUCCGGUUCAUACCGGUUCAUACCGGUUCAUACCACUUCACAGCAGAUUCUGCUCUGCUGGGGACUGGACACGACCUGCUUUCCUGGCUCUCUCUGCACCACCUCGAACCUCGUUGGUGGCCAGCACCAGCAGUUGUCCUGUGACUCUGUACCACCCUCGCUCUGAGCAGGGCCCUGGGCAUGGUCCGAGGAAGCGCCCUGCGGGUCUCGGGUCUUGGGAGCAAGCGCCUUCCUCACCUGCCCAUGAGUCUGAGGCGACGCCGCAGUGCAGCAGCUGGCGGCCUUCACUGUCGCCUCCACCUGGGCACAAGGUGCCAGCGCCAGGCGAGAAGAGGCUGAGCUGUGACCGGCACCAGGUGCCCUCUGAGCUCUCGUCCUCCUGUGUCCCCGCUGCUUUCGCCCAAGGCCACCCGCCCGCCCUCUUGGGAUGAGUCCUUUCUGAGAAGACGCCUCAGUCCCUGUCCCGUGGGCCCGAGGUCCCGGCCCACAGGACGCGUCUGUAUCCAAAUCAAGGCGCACAGUGCGUCUUACCAGGAGCCUUCAGGCCACACCUGACUGACCUCUCCAGUUUCGGUUUAUUUGGUGAAGUUAUUUGGUUAAAAGAAAACAGAAAACAAGAAAGCAAAUAAAUGGGAAAAAAUGCUCACUGAUGAUGAUUUUGUUUCUUCUACUCCUUCUCCAAGGACAGUAAUUACACAGCUGAAGGGGUCGCUCUCCCCUCUCCUUUCAGG
rnacentral:lncRNA from 1 species